rnacentral:rRNA from 1 species
ACACAUGCAAGUCGAGCGGAGACAGGGAGUAGCUUGCUACGAACUGUUUUAGCGGCGGACGGGUGAGUAACGCGUGAGCAACCUUUCCCAGACAGGGGAAUAACACACCGAAAGGUGUACUAAUACCGCAUAAGACCACGGGAUCACAUGGUUCUGGGGUAAAAGAAUUAUCGGUUUGGGGUGGGCUCGCGUCCGAUUAGGUAGUUGGUGAGGUAACGGCCCACCAAGCCGACGAUCGGUAGCCGACCUGAGAGGGUGAUCGGCCACAUUGGGACUGAGACACGGCCCAAACUCCUACGGGAGGCAGCAGUGGGGAAUAUUGGGCAAUGGAGGAAACUCUGACCCAGCAACGCCGCGUGGAGGAAGAAGGUUUUCGGAUCGUAAACUCCUGUCCUUGGAGACGAGUAGAAGACGGUAUCCAAGGAGGAAGCCCCGGCUAACUACGUGCCAGCAGCCGCGGUAAUACGUAGGGGGCAAGCGUUGUCCGGAAUAAUUGGGCGUAAAGGGCGCGUAGGCGGCUCGGUAAGUCUGGAGUGAAAGUCCUGCUUUUAAGGUGGGAAUUGCUUUGGAUACUGUCGGGCUUGAGUGCAGGAGAGGUUAGUGGAAUUCCCAGUGUAGCGGUGAAAUGCGUAGAGAUUGGGAGGAACACCAGUGGCGAAGGCGACUAACUGGACUGUAACUGACGCUGAGGCGCGAAAGUGUGGGGAGCAAACAGGAUUAGAUACCC